CAAAAACAUUAGUGAUAAUUAAGUAAAUAUUGUGGAAAAUGACUUUACGUCAUUCUCCUAAAGAGUAUUUUCCUUCUUAGUUAAAAAUAUGGCUGCUACUAGUAGUUACGGAAAUGGCAAGUAACCUUGAUUUCUGUCCUUUAAGAUGGUAGUUGCAAUUUGACAAAAAUGACAAAUUUCCUCUCCUCUUCUACCUAUUGUUAAUUUGUUAUUUACAGAUAUGGAGUCAAGGAGGAGCGCCUUGGUAUUCUCUUUCUUUCUUUUUCUCUCUUAGAAACCAAGGAAAAGAAAAUAAAAAUCUAUCUUUUUCCCUUGAACAUGUGGAAAUGACGCAGAAGCAAGAAACCCAUCAAGAGUUUUGUUGUUUCUUUGUUUUUCUAAUCAUUCACUCAUAGAUUAGCUAAUCUUCGUUUUAUCUUGGUUUUUGGUGUGAAAGGAUGAGAGAUCAAGCUACUUCACCCCAAGUGAAAGACUUUGUGCAGUGUUUAAAGGAAUAGUAGAAACUGUGAUCUUUAGUUUUCUUGGUUGUUUUAGUUUCCAGCAUCUGCCUCCUAAGCACCAUUACACCAUCAAUGACCUCAAUCGCAUUUCUAGCACAACUUUAUGUUUGUAUCUUUCCCUCAGUUAAUAUUUAUGCGUUAUUUUUGUGAGUGUUUGUUAUGGUUUUCGAUUCUGAGUUUUUAUUUUUUUCAAUUUUUUGGGGCUGAUAUUGCAGUUACAGUGAAUGAGGUGGAGGCGUUGCUUGAUUUAUUCAAGAAGUUGAGUAGCUCAAUUAUUGAUGAUGGCCUUCUACACAAGGAAGAGCUCCAGUUGGCCUUGUUAAGAACUCCUGCAGGCAAAAACCUUUUUCUGGACAGGGUAAAUUCACCAACCUCUCUUCCAUUAUCUUUCACCUUCUGUUAAGUGGCCAACCCUUUUUUUCUUUCCUUUUCUUUUUCUAGAUAUUUGAUCUUUUUGAUGAGAAGAAAAAUGGUGUAAUCGAAUUUGAGGAAUUUGCGCACGCACUCAAUGUUUUUCAUCCUCGUGCCUCCCUGGAGGAUAAAAUUGACUGUAAGUUUUCAGGUGGAGGAACUAUUCAGUUCAUUUUCUGUGACCAAAUCAAAGAAAACUAAUGUUCAAAUACAUUGGUUUGUUUGUCCCUUGGGUUUUAUGCAGUUGCAUUUAGGUUGUAUGAUUUGAAAGACACUGGAUAUAUCGAACGGGAAGAAGUGAGUAUCUCUGUGUUGAGACAUGUCCAGAACAUGUAUGGGUUAGUUUCAGAAAUCAAAUAAUUAUCUGGUUAUACACAAACAAAAUCAUACAUUCUCCAGUAGCAGUUGGCUGUGCAAUUGUACCAUUCUUGUAAGUUUAGCCAUUAACUUCUGGUAGUUUUCAGGUCCGGCUAAUGUUAAAUGCCAUUUUGCAAGAAUCUGACUUGCAGCUUUCAGAGGAAUAUCUUGAAGCAAUCAUUGAUAAGGUGAAGAAAGUUUUCGCUCGUUAAAACCAAGUAGUCUUUUGUCUUUCUUUUGAUUUCAUCAUCUUUUAUUAAACGAAGGCUUCCACUUCUUCUUCCUUUUCCCUGAAGUAGUGUACAUUAAUGGUGACCACUUUCUUUGCUCAGACAUUUGCCGAUGCCGACGCCAACAAGGAUGGCAAAAUUAACAAAGAAGAAUGGAAGGAGUUCGUCAUUCAGAACCCAUCCCUUUUGAAGAACAUGACCCUUCCUUAUUUAAUGGACAUCACCACAGUGUUUCCAAGUUUUAUUUUCAACACUGAAGUUGAUGACUGAAACCUUUAGUUACAAUUUUCUUUCAUGCUAAGCCAAAAUAUUGACGGCAAAAUGUCAAAAGAAAAGCCAUUCUAAUUCAUCGAAAUGCUUUUCAGUAGGCAACAGCAGCUGAUCACUUCUUCAAAUUUUAACACUGAUCAUGCAGCCUUUCUUUUCCCUCAUUAUUUUGGUGGGGAUCAUAUUUCAUUAAUUGAGGGUGGGUCUAAUCAAAACACCCCAUCUCUCCCUUGUAUUCUUUCCACAUUGGCAAAUUUUAUACUAUUCUUCCAUUACAUUACAUUCAAUACGAAAUUGUAAACAUAAAAAUACAUAUCAGCUAUAGAAUUUGAAGAUAUCCACAUGUAUGUGCAGGAAGUUACCAUCAAGAAAUAUAUACAUCAGUUUAAAAAACUUGACAUUGAAAAAGAAUGUUACCAUCAGAAACUACCAAUCAAGUUACAGGAGAAUCACAACAAAUUAAAAAUAUACAAAGCCUAAUCAUUUGUUCUUGGUAAAUUACUUUUUGUAGUUUUUUAAAACUAAUUGUUUAUGAAACAAUAACACUUUUUCAAUAUCAAAAAAGUAAUGAAAAUAAUUCCCACAGAGGAAAUUAACUUUCCAUUUGUUGGAAUGAAAAUGCAUUGAAAUGAGGAUGUUGCUCCUAUUAUUCUCAGGGGUGAGCAUUAAUUGGUUAAUUGGGUUCAAAUUUUAGCAAAACUAAAAUAACUGAACUUUAAUAGCAUUAAAACUGAGGGUCUCUAAGAAUGAGCUUUAGCUUAAUGGUACUAGAUUCAUCUUUCUAGAGCUAUAAAUUAAAAAGAAAAUUGAAGAACAAAUAUGAGUAGUAAACUCUAUUUCUCCUCAAUUGCUAUGUAAAUGCAAAUGGCAUAAAAAUUAAAUCUACUUAAAAUAGACAAAAAUAAAAAAAAGAAACAUCAACCAUACAAGAGAGCAGAACAUAAAGUACUGACAGAACCCAAAAAGCAAAAUAAUCUGAUAAGCCACAAAUUCAAGGUUUAUAUAUACCCAAUGCAAUUCUCAGAGAAUGACUUGGAAGAAACAAAAAACUUGGGAAAAUUAAGCUUGAUUAUGAUGUAAAAUAUAAGCUUGCCUAAGACUAAGAAUGAGAAUGGCAGUGGAAAAAGAGAGACAGCACUCCAAGAUCGGUUGGUGGGCUAGUAGAGGGCACAUGCAGAUCAAGUGAGAGCGGUGGCAGAAGAGAGGGCAGCACCGUCUCACAGACAGGAGUGAGAGGGUAGCACCAUUUUAGAGAUGGUUGGAUAGUGAAACAAGAGAAAUGACAAUAAAAGGAAAUUGUGGAAGUAGGGUUCUUUGCCUUCCCUCAAAUUAAUCUACUACUUGCUCAAAUAAAUCAACAAAAAAUAAUCAUUUUAUUCUGUUCUGAGAAACUCACAACCAAACUGAACUCCAAAAGGCAAGAUUGAUUAAACUUUCAAACCAAAAUUGAACAAAUCAAACCAAAUUAACUGGUUUCUCAGCAGUCCUUUUUCCCUUUUAAAUCAUUUGAAAAGCAGAAAACUUUUUUUUUUAAAUAUUAAAAACAGAAGACUAGAACCUCCUCUUCUGUAGUACUUGGUUUUGAUGGUACCUACCUCAGUGAUCGAAGUGGGAUAAUGCAGUUUCAAGCUGUUGUGAGGCGGAGAGCCAGUAUAAAAAAGCAAUAGUAAUAAAAAAAUACCUGACCUCUGCCUUCACGCCCAGUUUUCCAUCUGCAGAACAUUAAAGAAAACAAAGUUAGAAGAAAUCCAGAAAUUGCAAGUUCAAUUUACAAGAUGACAAGCUAGAAACAAGCAUAUUGGAUAACAUAUUUUCCAUAAGCUAUCUUAUGAAAGUUCCAACAAACUAUAAAAAAAAUACACUGUGCCUCAAGAAUCAUGAGCUUUGCUUCUGCUUGUAUAAUCAUAUACAGGCUUCAUUUAUGUACAAGGUAACAUAUUCAUAACUGAACCUACAUGAUGUCCCCUCCAAGUAUACACUGCAUCAACACAAACAUUAGAAACUGAAUCACAGCUGUGUCUUAAUUCAUCCUCAUAUUGUUCAACAAACAUAUAUUUCCUUGGCCAAAAUCUACUAGCUCAGUUGGUGAACCAAAGAAUUUGAAAUUUCGCAGCUGAGAAUCUGACUUUUAUUUGGAUUUGAUGUAACAAAGCAUCUCCAUAUCCAAUUUUCAGCAGGAAUGACUACCCUGAAAGUAAUGAAGCCAUUUUUUCACUGGACAAAAACCAUGCUGACCUUCACAUUAAGCUGAGACACUAGUUCACACUUCAAAAGAAUUUCUUUCAUAGUCUGUUAUACGAAAAAGUUAUAGAUAAGCUGGCCAUUAACUCCCAAAGAUGGUUAAUCAGAUAUUAUGCAGCCUUCCUUUCACAAAACCAAAAGCAUGCUGACCUUCACAAUAAGACUGGACCAUAAAUUCACACCUCAUAGGUAUUUUAUUUCUAUUGAUUUGUAGCCACUCUACACAGGUAUCCACAGAUUGUAAGUCAUCAAGAUAGUCUACCUCUUUUCAAGAAAACUAUAACUCCCAAAGUUUAUCUUCAAUUAAAAAAUGUCUAAAGAACAGAUGACAGAAGGAUAAUCAGACAUUAACUUGUAAAAUACUAGGCAUCUUUCUCAAACCAAACUCAAAUGGCAAAAACCUAAUAAGUUACUAAGUUCGGCAUCAACCACCCAAUCCACCAAUGUGAUUGGACUGUGCAUCCUGAUAAAGAAAAAAAAAUCUCCAGUCCAAAUUAAUCAUGUCCAUUGCAACACAUUAUGCCAUACAACUAGCAG
rnacentral:misc_RNA from 1 species